UGCUUGCACCGGGGAUUAGUGGCGAACGGGUGAGUAACACGUGAGUAACCUGCCCUUAACUCUGGGAUAAGCCUGGGAAACUGGGUCUAAUACCGGAUAUGACUCCUCAUCGCAUGGUGGGGGGUGGAAAGCUUUAUUGUGGUUUUGGAUGGACUCGCGGCCUAUCAGCUUGUUGGUGAGGUAAUGGCUCACCAAGGCGACGACGGGUAGCCGGCCUGAGAGGGUGACCGGCCACACUGGGACUGAGACACGGCCCAGACUCCUACGGGAGGCAGCAGUGGGGAAUAUUGCACAAUGGGCGCAAGCCUGAUGCAGCGACGCCGCGUGAGGGAUGACGGCCUUCGGGUUGUAAACCUCUUUCAGUAGGGAAGAAGCGAAAGUGACGGUACCUGCAGAAGAAGCGCCGGCUAACUACGUGCCAGCAGCCGCGGUAAUACGUAGGGCGCAAGCGUUAUCCGGAAUUAUUGGGCGUAAAGAGCUCGUAGGCGGUUUGUCGCGUCUGCCGUGAAAGUCCGGGGCUCAACUCCGGAUCUGCGGUGGGUACGGGCAGACUAGAGUGAUGUAGGGGAGACUGGAAUUCCUGGUGUAGCGGUGAAAUGCGCAGAUAUCAGGAGGAACACCGAUGGCGAAGGCAGGUCUCUGGGCAUUAACUGACGCUGAGGAGCGAAAGCAUGGGGAGCGAACAGGAUUAGAUACCCUGGUAGUCCAUGCCGUAAACGUUGGGCACUAGGUGUGGGGGACAUUCCACG
rnacentral:rRNA from 1 species